ACAUGCAUUUACAAACCAGAAAACCUUACUAAUCAUACAUUAGAUAUUUACAAACAAAUAGAGCCUCUGAAAGCCCACACCUUCAUUUUGACGGUGAAGUGGUGGAGACAAAUUAGGUACAUCACUAUAAAGAUCGUCAUUCCACACAUCGGUGUCUUCAAUCCUAUGUUGCAUUUCGGUAAAUUGAUCGUGUGCUUCUUCAGAAUGUAUCAAUGCUCCCGCUGCAAAUUGCACAUGUAAUACAUCUGCUUGUUCAGUCACCCUACUCAUGCGACCAACAUCACAUCCUUGAACAUCUGCAAUAGAACUAGAAAAGAAUAAGCAUCACCAGAGAAGCAUCACAUGCAUUUACAAACCAGAAAACCUUACUAAUCAUACAUUAGAUAUUUACAAACAAAUAGAGCCUCUGAAAGCCCACACCUUCAUUUUGACGGUGAAGUGGUGGAGACAAAUUAGGUACAUCACUAUAAAGAUCGUCAUUCCACACAUCGGUCUCUUCAAUCCUAUGUUGUAUUUUGGUGAAUUGAUCGUGUGCUUCUUCAGAAUGUUUCAAUGCUCCCGCUGCAAAUUGCACAU
rnacentral:lncRNA from 1 species